rnacentral:rRNA from 1 species
GAUGAACGCUGGCGGCGUGCCUAAUACAUGCAAGUCGAGCGAACAGAUGAGGAGCUUGCUCCUCUGACGUUAGCGGCGGACGGGUGAGUAACACGUGGAUAACCUACCUAUAAGACUGGGAUAACUUCGGGAAACCGGAGCUAAUACCGGAUAAUAUAUUGAACCGCAUGGUUCAAUAGUGAAAGACGGUUUUGCUGUCACUUAUAGAUGGAUCCGCGCCGCAUUAGCUAGUUGGUAAGGUAACGGCUUACCAAGGCGGCGAUGCGUAGCCGACCUGAGAGGGUGAUCGGCCACACGGGAACUGAGACACGGUCCAGACUCCUAAGGGAGGCAGCAGUAGGGAAUCUUCCGCAAUGGGCGAAAGCCUGACGGAGCAACGCCGCGUGGGUGAUGGAGGUCUUCGGGUCGUAAAACUCUGUUAUUAGGGAAGAACAAAUGUGUAAGUAACUAUGCACGUCUUGACGGUACCUAAUCAGAAAGCCACGGCUAACUACGUG